CUACGGGAUGCUGCAGUGGGGAAUAUUGGACAAUGGGGGAAACCCUGAUCCAGCAAUGCCGCGUGUGUGAAGAAGGCCUGCGGGUUGUAAGGCACUUUCGGUUGGGAGGACUGCUUCUAGCACUAAUAUUGUUGGAAGUUGACGUUACCUUCAGAAGAAGCACCGGCUAACUCCGUGCCAGCAGCCGCGGUAAUACGGAGGGGUGCAAGCGUUAAUCGGAAUUACUGGGCGUAAAGCGCGCGUAGGCGGCUAGAUCAGUCGGGUGUGAAAGCCCCGGACUUAACCGGGGAACUGCAUCCGAUACUGUCUAGCUAGAGUACAGGAGAGGAGAGUGGAAUUCCACAUGUAGCGGUGAAAUGCGUAGAUAUGUGGAGGAACACCAAUGGCGAAGGCAGCUCUCUGGCCUGAUACUGACGCUGAGGUGCGAAAGCGUGGGGAGCAAACAGGAUUAGAUACCCGAGUAGUC
rnacentral:rRNA from 1 species